AGCGAACGCUGGCGGCAGGCCUAACACAUGCAAGUCGAGCGCCGUAGCAAUACGGAGCGGCAGACGGGAGAGUAACACGUGGGAACGUGCCCUUUGGUUCGGAACAACCCAGGGAAACUUGGGCUAAUACCGGAUAAGCCCUUACGGGGAAAGAUUUAUCGCCGAAGGAUCGGCCCGCGUCUGAUUAGCUAGUUGGUGGGGUAAUGGCCCACCAAGGCGACGAUCAGUAGCUGGUCUGAGAGGAUGAUCAGCCUCACUGGGACUGAGACACGGCCCAGACUCCUACGGGAGGCAGCAGUGGGGAAUAUUGGACAAUGGGCGCAAGCCUGAUCCAGCCAUGCCGCGUGGGUGAUGAAGGCCCUAGGGUUGUAAAGCCCUUUCGGCGGGGAAGAUAAUGACGGUACCCGCAGAAGAAGCCCCGGCUAACUUCGUGCCAGCCGCCGCCGUAAAAC
rnacentral:rRNA from 1 species